rnacentral:rRNA from 1 species
CCUACGGGAGGCAGCAGUGAGGAAUAUUGGUCAAUGGCCGAGAGGCUGAACCAGCCAAGUCGCGUGAGGGAAGACGGCCCUACGGGUUGUAAACCUCUUUUGUCGGGGAGCAAAGCGAGUCACGUGUGACUCAUUGAGAGUACCCGAAGAAAAAGCAUCGGCUAACUCCGUGCCAGCAGCCGCGGUAAUACGGAGGAUGCGAGCGUUAUCCGGAUUUAUUGGGUUUAAAGGGUGCGCAGGCGGAGGUGCAAGUCAGCGGUCAAAUUGCGGGGCUCAACCCCGUACUGCCGUUGAAACUGCAUCCCUUGAGUGCGCGAGAAGUAUGCGGAAUGCGUGGUGUAGCGGUGAAAUGCAUAGAGAUCGGGAGGAACACCAGUGGCGAAGGCGGCCUACUGGGCUUUAACUGACGCUGAGGCACGAAAGCAUGGGUAGCAAACAGGAGUAGAUACCCUUGUAGUC